CCGUCAAUGAAAUCUUAUCAAUAAAUUCUAGAAAUUUGCCGGUGUACAGCGAGCUGAUCUCCCUUGCAGAAAAAGAUUUAUAUCACGGUGAACUAGCACCAGAAAUCCUAAACACAAAGGAUCAUGCAAUAACUUCCCCACCUACUUGUAGGACACCAUCUCAACGUAGCGAUACAAGCAACGUCUCUUCACAAGGAAUUCCUACAACUGGCACAACAAGAGAAAGACAAUCUGAACGAAACAGUGUUGUCUUUGGCAAGCUUUUCUUACAAUUCAUUAUUGCAUGUCUUGUUGUUACGUUUUCAUUUACGUUCAUUUCGUGUCGUUUGAAAUGUUUUUUUUUCUUCACAACUAACUGCAACACGUUAUUGCUUUGCAGUUGCGCAUGACCUUUCAUCGCACGAAACGCCUUCGACAAGUUUUCUGAACAUAACACCUUCAGGAAGACGUUCUCAACCAAACAUUAAUGGCUUCCAAAGAUCAGUUUUCACCAAACUGGAAACAUUAAUUGAUAAGCAAGAAGAAGCGUCGUCAAUAUCACGUGCUCUGUUAAGCGUUACGAAAGGUAUAGACGAGCACGAAAUUUUGGAAGAUGUUGUACCUAAGCCCUUAGAUUCGGUUUAAGAACUUGAGGACCUAUUCUCAGUCUUGAUGAAGAAAAGUCCAGAAGAAAGUUUCUGCAGUUUUUGGUAGCACUGUGCGCAAACACCAGUGCAAACAGUGUUAGAAGAAUUAUGACAAAGCUGG